CCAGCUCAUUGCAAAGGCUAAUUUGCCCACAGAAGGGGAGAGUACAGGAAGCAUAGUGGGAGGGUGGGACUCUACAGAGGCCUGUCACAUCUGGAUCUGGCUAACAUGAUUUGUUCACUUCCAGAAAGGAUGUUAGAGAGUCCUUCUGAAACGUGCAUGCCAGGUAUGAGGACCAUAGGACCCUUCAGUGAAGCAAAGAGGUCUCUUCCUGGAUGCUGUGGUGCACAGACACUCGUCCUGGAGUAUCAGAGGCAUUUAAGUCCACAUAGGGAGUCCAUCUGAGGGCAGAAGUACUAUGGGACAAAGAGCUAGAAAAGCUGAAGCCACUGGCCCCUUCAGACUCCAGUUAUAGAAGUUAUCAAUUCCUGUUCUUGGCCAAAGAUAACUUCUUGGAACAUUAUAC
rnacentral:lncRNA from 1 species